UACAGAGGUCCCAAGCGUUGUUCGGAUUCAUUGGGCGUAAAGGGUGUGCAGGUGGCGCCGUAAGUCGGGUGUGAAAUUUCGGAGCUUAACUCCGAAACUGCAUUCGAUACUGCGGUGCUUGAGGACUGGAGAGGAGACUGGAAUUCAUGGUGUAGCAGUGAAAUGCGUAGAGAUCAUGAGGAAGACCAGUGGCGAAGGCGGGUCUCUGGACAGUUCCUGACACUGAGACACGAAGGCCAGGGGAGCAAACGGG
rnacentral:rRNA from 1 species